AUUGAACGCUGGCGGCAGGCCUAACACAUGCAAGUCGAGCGAGCGGCGGACGGGUGAGUAAUGUAUGGGGAUCUGCCCGCUAGAGGGGGAUAACUACUCGAAAGAGACGCCAAUUCCGCCUACUAUUGGAUCGGCCGAUAUCGGAUUAGCUAGUUGGUGGGGUAACGGCUCACCAAGGCAACGAUCCGUAGCUGGUUUGAGAGGACGACCAGCCACACUGGGGCUGAGACACGGCCCAGACUCCGACGGGAGGCAGCAGUGGGGAAUUUUGGACAAGGGGGGGAACCCUAAGACAGCCAGCGCGCGUGAAUGAGAAGGCCUUCGGGUUGUAAAGUACUUUUGGCAGAGAAGCGGUAUCUGCAGAAUAAGCACCGGCUAACUACGUGCCAGCAGCCGCGGUAAUAC
rnacentral:rRNA from 1 species